AAUUCUCAACCCCUCUUUGCUUUAUUGCAAAGACGUGGGUUGGAUUAUGGCUGCUGUCGAUUUACUUUGACUCAGCUGAAAUAUACAAGCUACCCAGUUGAUGCAACGGUUUGACUUGGCGUGAUAAUUAUUUCGCUGAGGAACGUUAAAUCAGAGUGGUGCUUCUAACACCUGUUAAACAA
rnacentral:misc_RNA from 1 species